rnacentral:lncRNA from 1 species
UUUUUUUUUGAGACGGAGUCUCCCUCUGUCGCCCAGGCUGGAGUGCAGUGGCGCGAUCUCGGCUCACGGCAAGCUCCGCCUCCCGGGUUCACGCCAUUUUCCUGCCUCAGCCUCCUGAGUAGCUGGAACUACAGGCGCCGCGCCACCACUCCCGGCUAAUUUUUUUAUUUUAUUUUAUUUUUUAUUUUUAGUAGAGACGGGGUUUCACCGUAGCCAGAAUGGUCUUGAUCUCCUGACCUCGUCAUCCGCCCGCCUCGGCCUCCCAAAGUGCUGGGCUUACAGGCGUGAGACACUGCGCCCGGCCCAUACUACUACUUUUUUUUCAUGUGCACUCUAGAUGAUAGUGAAUGAAUACCUUAUAUGGAGUCCAGCCAUGACCAAAAGACAGGAGCUAACACUCAGCUUCAUGGAAAGGCCCAAUCUAAUGUCCAGGAAUAGACUCCUGAGGUAUGGUCUUCUGCCACAGAGCUUUCAGGCCUAGAAAAUUUGCUUGAAGCAGUUUUACUUGCUUGAAAAACUGCUGCGAUAAGAAGAUAUUUUUUUCAUUUGAAGUCUCACAUACUUAAAAUACAAAAAUAGAACAAAGACAUUGCAUUGCAAAUAGAAUUACAGUCUUAUUUUCUUAAUAGAGUAAAAAAUAAAUUGUCUAAAAUGAUUUUUGACAAAGGAAACUUUUUAUUUGAAAAUUAUGAUUUGCAGUCUUUCACUAGAAUGCUAAUUUAUUAACUCUCUUCAAAAUCCUGUAUCAGAAUUUACUCAGGCUUGCUGAUAGGGCUUAACAAAAAAGCAAAGCUAAGCAAGGCACCUAUACGCUUGGGCCUGACAUAAUGUGAUUUGAGAAAAUGUCAUCAUGCUUUAAAAUGCAAAGCGCCUAUCACAACCGAACAACAAAAGACGUUCUCUCAUUGAGUAUCUUUUCCAUAACAG